AUCCUCCCAUUAUUCAUAUGCUUGUCUCAAAGACUGACCCUUGCAUGUCUAAUUAUAAUUGGUAUACAUUGAACCUCCAAAUGGCUCAUUAAACCAGUUAUAUUUUAUUUGGUAACCAAAUUUACAUGGAAAACCUGGGUAAUUCAAGAGCUAAUACAUCCUGUAAACCCCGACUUUUUGAAGGGCCGUAUUUAUUAAAUAAAACACAAAUUUUCCCCGUGUCAAUUGUGGUGAACAUUAUAAACUAAUCGCAUCCCUUGGACUCCGCCGGCGACAAACCUUUCAAUUUUCUGCCCCAUCAGCUUCCAAUGGUAUUGUAUUGAACAACAUAGGCUUUACCGGAUAACGGAGGAUUAGGGUUCUAUUCCGGAAAGGAACCCGGACAACCGGCAACCACGUCUAAGGAAGGCAGCAGGCUCUAAAAUUACCCAAUUCAAAUUUGAAAAGUUAGUGACAAAAAAAACCGGGUCGGGACUAUUUCCCGGGACGGCAAUGAAAUAAAUUCCCACCCUUUUU
rnacentral:rRNA from 1 species